UACGUAGGGUCCGAGCGUUGUCCGGAAUUACUGGGCGUAAAGAGCUCGUAGGUGGUUUGUCGCGUUGUUCGUGAAAACUCACAGCUCAACUGUGGGCGUGCGGGCGAUACGGGCAGACUAGAGUACUGCAGGGGAGACUGGAAUUCCUGGUGUAGCGGUGGAAUGCGCAGAUAUCAGGAGGAACACCGGUGGCGAAGGCGGGUCUCUGGGCGAGUAA
rnacentral:rRNA from 1 species